CAGUAGCCGCGGUAAUACGGAGGGUGCGAGCGUUAAUCGGAAUAACUGGGCGUAAAGGGCACGCAGGCGGUGACUUAAGUGAGGUGUGAAAGCCCCGGGCUUAACCUGGGAAUUGCAUUUCAUACUGGGUCGCUAGAGUACUUUAGGGAGGGGUAGAAUUCCACGUGUAGCGGUGAAAUGCGUAGAGAUGUGGAGGAAUACCGAAGGCGAAGGCAGCCCCUUGGGAAUGUACUGACGCUCAUGUGCGAAAGCGUGGGGAGCAAACAGGAUUAGAUACCCCCGUAGUCCCUGUCUCUUAUAC
rnacentral:rRNA from 1 species